CUGUCAUCUACCAUAAUACUCUCUACUAUGGAUUUUAAUUGGUAGCAAUGAUUUCAAAACUUGACUGCUGUUGAGUUUUAGAUGAAUCAUCUUACCCAGCCCCUGCCCAUGCCUCCAACUGCAUCUUGAGCUACUCUCCAUUUGCUGAGGGCAUUUGCUCAGGACACUCCAGCUCCACUAGCCUUUUCCAGCUCCUCCAGCACUACGCUGACCUCCUUCCAACUCAUCCAACACAUCAAACUACUUCCUGCCUCAGAGCCUUCCCUCUGCUUGGACAUCUUUUUCUCCAUUUCUUGCUUGACCAACUUGUUUCUACUCAACUUCCAGAUUCCUGUUUUAAGGUUGGUUUUAAGAGCAGCCUUCUGAGAUCCUCCCAAGGUCAAGGGUUAGUCACCUGGUAAGAAGCUGCCAAUUGCAAAUAAGAGUGUGCACUUGCUGGAUGUCUUCUGUUUGCUCUCUUGACCCACCUUCUACCAUUCCCCACCUUCUUCUUUGCCUCCGGAAGGGAGCUUUCUGGACUGCACCAACAAGCUACUUUGUCCUCUGGCUUGUCCUCGGAUUCAGUCAGUGGGAGGUACCCACAAGGUGACUUAGAAGGCAGAAGAGGAAUGAGGUGUGGUGGCUCACGUCUGAAAUCCCAGCACUUUGGGAGGCCAAGGGGGUGGAUCACCUGAGG
rnacentral:lncRNA from 10 species